rnacentral:lncRNA from 1 species
CUUUUUCCUUGCCAUAUGCAGUAAGAGUAGAUUAUAAAAACAAAGUCAGAGCAGUCACUGGUGUCUGGGCAUGGAGGAGAAAGAAGAAUUCUCUUCUCCCUUCACCCUCCAUGCCCCUUUUUGGCUCCAUGUGAUUCAGAUUUCUGGACCCUGGAGCCCCACCCCAAGCUAAAGACCAGGAUACAGGGAAGCCAAAAGCCACUGGCGGUUCUGAGAACUUACUUUUCACUUAUUCUGCAUUUACUGUUUCCUUUUCUUACGCAGAAAAAGAAAAAAACCAAGCCCCUACACUUCAAGGCCUAUGUUGUCCAGACCCACACUCGGGCCUGCCAGUGUGUGCCUGGCAGGGAUGCUCCAUGGCCACACCAUAUCCAUCCUACACAUCCCCCCUCAGAAUGUGACCUCCAUUUGCUCUGGGAUCCCCACAAGCUUCAGCUGCUUGAGCAAGACACUGCUUAGAA